rnacentral:lncRNA from 1 species
UUGGUAUUAAAUAAUAUAUGUACUUCGCUGUGUAAUUAUCGUUCAACAGUUUAUGCAAGUCUUAUUUCACUUCAAGUUCUCAAUGACGUUUACCGUUCAACAGCUUAUGGAACUUUCACAUGAUCCUUCUGUUCUUACUUAAACUUAUGGCUAAAAAAAAAAUGCCGUAGUCUAUUUCUUCCUGAGCCUCGCUACUUUUCCUUUUAAUAUUCUCUUCUUUAAUUAUUUACCUACUGUUCUUUCGUUCUUUACUUCUUACUAUUUUUUUUUCUUUUCCCUUUCCUGUUAUUUGCUUCUUUCUAUUUACUCUUGGUGUUUUCCUUUUUCCUUUAGUCCUAGCACAUAUCUUUGCCUCUCUUUUUUUUUUUUUUUUUUGUUUUGAAAAGUGUACCGAUUGUACUCUUUCCCGUAUUACUGGUUUUCUCAACGUGUGGACAAUAAUGCAACUCUUGACGAUGGAGAAUUUACUUCUUCCCUUUGUUC